rnacentral:rRNA from 1 species
CCUACGGGAGACUGCAGUAGGGAAUUUUCGGCAAUGGGGGGAACCCUGACCGAGCAACGCCGCGUGAACGAAGAAGUUAUUCGUAAUGUAAAGUUCUUUUAACAGGGAAGAAAGAGAAAUUUGACGGUACCUGAAGAAUAAGCUCCGGCUAACUACGUGCCAGCAGCCGCGGUAAUACGUAGGGAGCGAGCGUUAUCCGGAAUUAUUGGGCGAAAAGGGUGCGUAGAGGGCAUAGUAAGUCUUUUGUAAAAAUGCUGGGCUCAACCCAGUAGGGCAAAAGAUACUGCAAAGCUAGAGUAUGACAGAGGCAAGUGGAACUACAUGUGUAGCGGUAAAAUGCGUAAAUAUAUGUAAGAAAACCAGUGGCGAAGGCGGCUUGCUGGGUCGAUACUGACAUUGAGGCACGAAAGCGUGGGGAGCAAACAGGAUUAGAUACCCCAGUAGUC